rnacentral:rRNA from 1 species
GGACGAACGCUGGCGUCGUGCUUAACACAUGCAAGUCGAACGGAAAGGCCCUGCUUUUGUGGGGUGCUCGAGUGGCGAACGGGUGAGUAACACGUGAGUAACCUGCCCUUGACUUUGGGAUAACUUCAGGAAACUGGGGCUAAUACCGGAUAGGAGCUCCUGCUGCAUGGUGGGGGUUGGAAAGUUUCGGCGGUUGGGGAUGGACUCGCGGCUUAUCAGCUUGUUGGUGGGGUAGUGGCUUACCAAGGCUUUGACGGGUAGCCGGCCUGAGAGGGUGACCGGCCACACUGCGCUCUAGAGACGGCCCAGACUCCUACGGGAGGCAGCAGUGGGGAAUAUUGCACAAUGGGCGGAAGCCUGAUGCAGCAACGACGAGUGCGGGAUGACGGCCUUCGGGUUUUAAACCGCUUUCGCCUGUGACGAAGCGUGAGUGACGGUAAUGGGUAAAGAAGCACCGGCUAACUACGUG